rnacentral:tRNA from 1 species
AAGAAAACCUAUGUUGGAACUGCUAAUUCCGACCCCUGGAACUAACAUACCCAGACUUCUU